CUCUGUGACUCCUACGGGAGGCAGCAGUGAGGAAUAUUGGUCAUGAGGGAACUCUGAACCAGCCAUCCCGCGUGUAGGAAGACGGCCUUAUGGGUUGUAAACUACUUUUAUACAGGAAGAAACCGUACCCCUCGUGAGGGUGCCUGACGGUACUGUAGGAAUAAGCACCGGCUAACUCCGUGCCAGCAGCCGCGGUAAUACGGAGGGUGCGAGCGUUAUCCGGAUUUAUUGGGUUUAAAGGGUCCGUAGGCGGAUUAAUAAGUCAGUGGUGAAAUCCCAUCGCUUAACGAUGGAACUGCCAUUGAUACUGUUAGUCUUGAAUGAGGGUGCAGUGGUUGGAAUGUGUAGUGUAGCGGUGAAAUGCAUAGAUAUUACACAGAACACCGAUUGCGAAGGCAGAUCACUAACCCUAAAUUGACGCUGACGGGACGAAAGCGUGGGGAGCGAACCAGGAUUAGAUACCCCUCGGGUAG
rnacentral:rRNA from 1 species